rnacentral:lncRNA from 1 species
AUGUAUUUUUACUGGAGGUGUCCAAUCAACACAGGCAGCUGUUCACUUUGCCUAGUUCUGAUCCCAAGUCUACUUCCAACUGAAAGGAAAAAGAAAAAGAAUUACCAAAGUCCAGUGGUAAAACAGAGUUCAGGAUGACUGGCAAUGUCCUGGAAUGAAGGGAUGACCUUGGCAUCUCUGUUUAACCAAGCUCUAGGCACUCCACAG